rnacentral:misc_RNA from 1 species
ACCUCUUCACUUUGAAUCUAUGUUUGAUAAUUUUAAUUUCUCACAUUUUAUUGGAUAUUUAGGCCAUGAGUCACCUCUAAGGGUGAAUUAACCAAAUUGUCCCUUACCGGUUUGACUCGUUUUUACGAUAACACUGUAUUGCUUCCUAAACUCUGAUUCAAUUAUUUGACCUUGUUCUCAACUUUUUUCUGUGGUUUUCACAUUUUCUCUAGCUUCGCAAUAAUUCUUAGGCUUGGGAUAUUAUCCCACUCAAAAAUAGGCAGCGACUGAUCUCGCAGUCACUUCCUAGUACGGUCACCCAUCGCUGUGUCCAUAGCUCAUUUAACCUUUUAUGCUUUGUUUUUCUUAUUUAUACUUAACU